UUCGUGAUCUGCGAAAGGCUC
rnacentral:miRNA from 1 species